UACGUAGGGUGUGAGCGUUGUCCGGAAUUAUUGGGCGUAAAGAGCUCGUAGGCGGUCUGUCGCGUCGGAUGUGAAAACUCGGGGCUCAACCCCCGAGCCUGCAUUCGAUACGGGCAGACUAGAGUUCGGUAGGGGAGACGUGGAAUUCCUGGUGUAGCGGUGAAAUGCGCAGAUAUCAGGAGGAACACCGGUGGCGAAGGCGGGUCUCUGGGCCGAUACUGACGCUGAGGAGCGAAAGCGUGGGGAGCGAACAGG
rnacentral:rRNA from 1 species